rnacentral:lncRNA from 1 species
GUCAAUGUACAGACUUAAUCAUUACGAUAAAUUCAGUACUUGUUACACAAUUUGCAUGAAGGCAAUUCCAUCCUGAACAGUAAUUUCUUCGAAAAUUCAAUAUGUUGUUGAUCUAGAUAUAUACUCUUGAAUAUAUAGCUGCUGUAUAGAAUGAACAUAGAAUGAACAGAUAUUAAAUAAUAGCCAGAAAACUUUCGGUUAUGAACUGAAUGAACUGCAGUGGAUAAGUCUGAAGGGAAAGACAAAAAUAUCUUAAAAUUUAUUAUUCAGACUUUUUGAAAGCGGUUCAGAUCAAACUAAACGUUCCAAAUCAACAUUAAGUUUAACAGCAGUAAUUUUAAGAA